UCCCUGUCGUGUCAUCCCCAUCACGUUGUCCCCGUCGCGUCGUCCUCCCCGUCACCCGGACGCCUGGGCCCGCCGGACUGACCUCCCCUCGGCGUCUCCCCCGGCGCAGGGUUGACGCCGGAGCUGCGGGCGCUGCUGGCGGCCAUGUUGGAGCCGGAGCCGGGCCGGAGGCCCUCGGUGGAGGCCUUGCUGCGCACGGCCGUGGUGCGGCGGGCGGGGCGGUGGCGGGCCCUCACCCGAUUGGCCGACGAGGGGCUGCGGCGGGCGGGGCAGCUGCUGGAGGUGAGCUCCCGCCCCACGGCGCCCCACAGCGCCCCGCCGCCCCACACCUCGGCCUCACCACCUAGCAUCAAAGCGUGGUGGCCCUCCAUAACCACAUACCCAUCAUGCCUCAUGCCGUUCCCCCCCCUUCCAGGACAUCCGGGCCCUGCUACGGUGGCUGUGGGGCGCGCUAUGGGGCCCGGCGCGCUGGCUGCGGGCCCCAGCCACCCCACCCUGCUCCCCACUGCCGCCCCACUUCAGCCCCUCCAGUGACUGGGACGAAGAUGAUGACGAUGACGGCAGCCCCAUGCGAUUGGUCCGCAGCGCCCCGGGGUGGCAGGGCGGGGCCCGGCCUGGCUCACCGCAGGAUAGCCCUACCUCCUUCUCCCGCCUGGGCCGCGUUGUGUCCCCAAGUGCCACCUCCACCCCCCACCAUGACACCACCCCACGGAGCAGCUCCAGGAGCAGGUCCCCAGACAGCAGCCCCGGCGCCCUGGGCACCCUACGCCGCACCCUGACCUUCGAGGAGGAGCCCGAGUCCUGCCCCCAAUAAAGGGCGGGGCCGCCCCA
rnacentral:lncRNA from 1 species